CUUUCUCUCUCUCUCUCUCUCUUCGACUCGCACCUCCCUUUUCCUUCUUCCUGUUUAUGACUCAGAAGUGCGCACAAACUUUUAUCUGUGCUUGUUCUUUAUGCGCACACACCCGUGUGAGCCAAUAAAACAUAUUGGAGUUUACCUGAGGAUGAGAGGAGCUGAACCGGAGCUGCCUAUAACUCUCGAGAGGACCGGCUAUUACGUGUGUUGUGUGAUGACGCGGUGGUCAGGUGUUGCCUCAUAUAACGGGGGGAGCUGUCCAAGUGCUGAAAACAGAAGAGACCAGCACCGCUCCGGAGGAGAUGCCAUACACCUUCACUGCUGUCUGAGCUUUAUUACCAAAGGUAAGA